rnacentral:snoRNA from 1 species
UUGCUACAUUAAUAUCAUGUCCAGAACUAAUUCUUUCCCUAGGUCUGGUUUUGUAAAUGCUGGUGAUAAAC